rnacentral:rRNA from 1 species
GACAGAGGGUGCAAGCGUUGUUCGGAAUUAUUGGGCGUAAAGCGCACGUAGGCGGCUUCGCAAGUCGGAUGUGAAAUCCCAGGGCUUAACCGUGGAAGUGCAUCCGAAACUGCGUUGCUUGAGUGCCGGAGAGGGUGGUGGAAUUCCCAGUGUAGAGGUGAAAUUCGUAGAUAUUGGGAGGAACACCUGUGGCGAAGGCGGCCACCUGGACGGACACUGACGCUGAGGUGCGAAAGCGUGGGGAG